GACGAACGCUGGCGGCGUGCUUAACACAUGCAAGUCGAACGGAAAGGCCCUGCUUUUGUGGGGUGCUCGAGUGGCGAACGGGUGAGUAACACGUGAGUAACCUGCCCUUGACUUUGGGAUAACUUCAGGAAACUGGGGCUAAUACCGGAUAGGAGCUCCUGCUGCAUGGUGGGGGUUGGAAAGUUUCGGCGGUUGGGGAUGGACUCGCGGCUUAUCAGCUUGCUGGUGGGGUAGUGGCUUACCAAGGCUUUGACGGGUAGCCGGCCUGAGAGGGUGACCGGCCACAUUGGGACUGAGAUACGGCCCAGACUCCUACGGGAGGCAGCAGUGGGGAAUAUUGCACAAUAGGCGGAAGCCUGAUGCAGCAACGCCGCGUGCGGGAUGACGGCCUUCGGGUUGUAAACCGCUUUCGCCUGUGACGAAGCGUGAGUGACGGUAAUGGGUAAAGAAGCACCGGCUAACUACGUG
rnacentral:rRNA from 1 species